GUCCUUGCUCAGUAACCCCAGGCUGGCUUCCCCAUCAGCAGUCCUGUGCCCACCUCCUGCUCCAUGAGGCUCCAUGCUGCCCUGUGUCUGAUAAGUUAUUUCUUAGAAAUAUGACUCAGUUCCCAGCUCUGCCCAAUCUUUGGCCAACCUCUGAGAAUGUGUGAUCUCUUGUAAGACUAGGAAUUCAUUCAAGCACUUGCUAUGUUCUGAUGAAGUCCAAUCCCCAGCUCCUCCUUUCCAGUCCCUCUCCCGUCCCACCAGUCUUCAGCUUGCUUUAUCCAUGCCAGUGACUCAGGUCUCUCCAUGUUAAUAUGUAUAGAUUGGUUCUUCAAUUUCACCUUCCAGGGCUAUGCCACCAUGUGUUUAUCAGGACCCUGGUGAACUCCUGGGAUGCUCUUUUCUAAAGAUGCAGAACAUAAACAUCAAGUAAACCAAGGCAGUGAAGUUGAGAGGCUUCGCACCCUGACACCUUGGAGUCACCUUUGAGGUUAUUCUGGAGCUGUGGACCUAUGACAGCGACGGUGUGUCUACAAUCUAAUGGGAAAAAGAAACAGCUAAGAAUGCAUUUUAGGGGUUACUCUUGCUAUGCACGGUGCAUCUGUGAAAGAGCUGUGGGAUAAGACAAGGGGUAUGAGGGGAUAGGGGCAUCUUCGGUGACCUGUCGAAGAUGAGCUACCGCCCACAUGGAAGAGCAGUGGGGCUGCUGGGAAGCAGAGGUGCCACGGGACAGGACAGCAGUUCUCCCAGGGGAGGCACUAAUGGAGUAUGUAACCACACUUGUCUUCCUUCAGAGAUUUUGCUUGUCAAUCAAAACAAACUGAACCACAGCCUAUUAAGAAAGACAUCAGGGUUGCUUUGUGAGGACAGUGAUUGUUUAGAAUAAAACAUUAUCCACAACUUUGUGCAUGUGAGGCAAGUGACUGAGCUAUAACCCAUACACAUUUUUAUUUUAUUUUUUAAAUUGUGAGACAGGAUCUCUGUGAAUUAUUUACACAGGACCUCACUUUGUUGUCCACUUGGGCCCUGAUCUCAAGAUCACUGUGCCUCACCCUCUAAGCAAUCCCAAGCCACCAGGAUCUGUGAAGCAACAUGCUCAGAAAUCAACCCUGCUCCAAAGAAGCUUUUAGUCUUUAGUCUCAAGAUAGGCAGAAUCACCUUGCAAUACAGAGUCAAAUGUUAUUGUCUACUGAUGCUCCUCCCAUCCUUGAGUUCACUGGACAGUGAUGAGGGCUCAGCUGGAUGCUCAGAGUGAGGGAUAGUAAGAUGCAAUUUUGUAGAAGAUUGACUUAAGAUGGCAGCCGCUGACUGCAACCCCAAGACUGGAGAGAUCCAUGGCGGAUCCAAGCAAAAUGUGACAUUGGAAGAAAAGAUGGAGGAACAGAGCCAUAUGCAGCAGAAAAAUGUCAAAACUAUGGAAUGGGAACGAGGCCAUAAGAGACAAAGAGCAUCUCCUUACUGAAUUCGACCAGUCCUAGAGCCAGCCACUGCUUGCCCUGCUGAAACAGAGAGCAUGGAGCAGCAAAGCUGCCCCACUGAGGGAGAGGACAACUGGUAUUCCGUAGCCUGGAGCUCUCUUGGAAACAUGGCAUUACUGAAUAGGGUUCAUCUUCAUCUCACCAACCAACCCACAGCAUGGAGCUACUGCUCCUGUGGACCCUGCUAGGGAGGAAGGGCCCCAGCACUGCCCACAGGUUACAAGCACGUUGGUCUUACCUGGCAAGCCACAAGACAUCAAGCACCAAGGGCAAGGAAUGUGUAGCAGCUAGGAGUGCACAAGGACCUGCUCUCAACACCCUGCCUAGCUACAAGAUCGCCCAGACUCUGGGCAACAGCAAGGUAUCUGGGAUAUCAGGAAUGGUGCACCAUUUAUGGUGCUUCCGAAAUCACAAACUUUGAAAAAACAAAUGUUUCAUUGCAAUGAGUUAUUUGCUUAUAAUGCUGUUUGGGAAAAAAUAUACUGUGUGACACACUGCCGAUGACAACA
rnacentral:lncRNA from 1 species